CUAUUUGUGAAGCUAAGGCUCCGCCCCCAAGGCCGGUCCCGCACAGGUUGCGGCGUGCGCGCGCGCAGGCGCGAGAAAGUGCGGCCGCGCGCUCGCGCUCCCAGCAGGCCGGCUCUUCUGCACACUGCAAUGCCCCGCGGGAAAUCCGCGUCGGGAGGCUCUACUGCCGCCGGCCCAGGCCCGGGGAGGCAAACGGUUCUGAGCCGGUUCUUCAGAUCUGCGGGAAGCCUAAGAUCCAGCGCGUCCUCCACGGAGCCAGCAGAGAAGGUGACAGAAGGUGACGGCAGGAAGAGGUCACUGGGAAAUGGUGGGCCCACUAAGAAAAAAGCAAAGAAAGUUCCAGAGAAGGAGGAAGAAAACAUCUCAGUAGCAUCUCACAACCCUGAGGCAAAGAAAUGUCUGAGGCCCAGGAUUGUUUUAAAGUCCCUGGAAAAGUUGAAAGAAUUCUGCUGUGAUUCUGCCCUCCCUCAAAACAGAGUCCAGACAGAAGCUCUUCGGGAGAGACUUGAAGUUCUGCCAAGGUGUACUGAUUUUGAAGAUAUCACUCUGCAACGUGCAAAGAAUGCGGUUUUGUCCGAAGAUUCCAAACCUCAGGCUAAUCAGAAAGACAGUCAAUUUGGACCCUGCCCUGAAAUUUUCCAGAAGACUUCCGAUUGUAAACCUUUUAACAAGCGAUCCAAGAGCAUCUAUACACCGUUAGAACUGCAGUACAUAGAUAUGAAGCAGCAGCAUAAAGACGCAGUUUUGUGCGUGGAGUGUGGUUACAAGUACAGAUUCUUUGGGGAAGAUGCAGAAAUUGCUGCCCGGGAACUCAAUAUUUAUUGCCACUUAGACCACAACUUUAUGACUGCAAGCAUACCUACCCACAGACUGUUCGUGCAUGUCCGCCGACUUGUGGCCAAAGGAUACAAGGUGGGAGUUGUGAAGCAAACUGAAACUGCCGCAUUAAAGGCCAUCGGAGACAAUAAAAGUUCUGUCUUCUCCCGGAAAUUGACCGCUCUUUAUACGAAAUCCACACUUAUUGGAGAAGAUGUGAAUCCUCUCAUCAGGCUGGAUGAUUCUGUAAAUAUUGAUGAGGUAAUGACAGAUACCUCUACCAACUAUCUUCUGUGUAUCUACGAAGAAAAGGAGAACAUUAAAGACAAAAAGAAGGGGAACAUUUCCGUUGGUAUCGUGGGAGUGCAGCCUGCAACCGGCGAAGUUGUGUUUGACUGCUUCCAGGACUCUGCUUCCAGACUGGAGCUGGAGACUCGCAUAUCAAGCCUGCAGCCUGUGGAAUUACUGCUUCCCUCCGACCUGUCUGCGCCAACAGAGAUGCUCAUCCAAAGAGCCACCAAUGUCAGUGUGCGGGAUGACAGAAUUCGAGUAGAAAGGAUGAAUAAUGCUUACUUUGAAUACAGCCAUGCUUUCCAGACAGUUACGGAGUUUUAUGCUAGAGACAUAGUUGACAGCCAGGGCUCUCAGAGUCUCUCUGGUGUCAUUAACUUGGAGAAGCCUGUGAUCUGCGCCUUGGCUGCCAUAAUAAGGUACCUCAAGGAAUUUAACCUGGAAAAGAUGCUGUCCAAACCCGAGAGUUUUAAACAGCUGUCAAGUGGAAUGGAAUUCAUGAGAAUUAAUGGGACAACGCUAAGAAAUCUGGAGAUCCUACAGAAUCAGACUGAUAUGAAGACCAAAGGAAGUUUGCUUUGGGUUUUAGACCACACUAAAACUUCAUUUGGGAGAAGGAAGUUAAAGAAUUGGGUUACCCAGCCACUGCUUAAAUUAAGGGAAAUAAAUGCCCGACUUGAUGCAGUAUCUGAUGUUCUCCACUCAGAAUCCAGUGUGUUUGAGCAGAUAGAAAACCUUCUUCGUAAGUUACCGGAUGUCGAGAGAGGACUAUGUAGCAUUUAUCACAAGAAGUGCUCUACCCAAGAGUUCUUCUUGAUCGUCAAAAGCCUGUGUCACCUGAAGUCAGAACUUCAAGCAUUAAUGCCUGCUGUUAAUGCCCACAUUCAGUCCGACUUACUCCGAGCACUCAUCGUGGAGGUUCCUGAGCUCCUCAGCCCAGUGGAGCAUUACUUAAAGGUUCUGAAUGAGCCAGCUGCCAAAGUUGGCGAUAAAACUGAAUUAUUCAAAGACCUCUCUGACUUCCCUUUAAUAAAAAAGAGGAAAAAUGAAAUUCAAGAAGUCAUUCACAGCAUCCAAAUGCAUUUACAGGAAUUUCGGAAAAUAUUAAAACUUCCUUCUUUACAAUAUGUGACUGUAUCAGGACAAGAGUUUAUGAUUGAAAUAAAGAACUCAGCUGUAUCUUGCAUCCCAGCUGAUUGGGUGAAGGUUGGAAGCACAAAAGCUGUGAGCCGCUUUCACCCUCCCUUCAUUGUGGAAAGCUACAGACGUCUGAAUCAGCUCCGGGAGCAGCUAGUCCUUGACUGCAGUGCUGAAUGGCUUGGCUUCCUAGAGAAUUUUGGUGAACAUUAUCACACUUUGUGUAAGGCUGUGGAUCACCUAGCAACUGUUGACUGUAUUUUCUCCCUGGCCAAGGUCGCUAAACAAGGAAAUUACUGCAGGCCAACUCUACAAGAAGAAAAGAAAAUCAUCAUAAAAAAUGGAAGGCACCCUAUGAUUGAUGUGUUGCUGGGUGAACAAGAUCAGUUUGUGCCCAACAGUACGAGUUUAUCACAGGACUCUGAGAGAGUCAUGAUAAUCACCGGACCAAACAUGGGUGGGAAGAGCUCCUACAUAAAACAGGUUGCCCUGGUUACCAUCAUGGCUCAGAUUGGCUCCUACGUUCCUGCAGAGGAAGCCACAAUCGGGAUUGUGGAUGGCAUUUUCACAAGGAUGGGUGCUGCAGACAAUAUCUACAAAGGCCGGAGUACUUUCAUGGAAGAACUGACGGACACAGCGGAAAUAAUCAGGAGAGCGUCCCCACAGUCCUUGGUUAUCCUGGAUGAGCUGGGGAGAGGGACAAGCACCCAUGACGGAAUCGCCAUCGCCUAUGCAACUCUAGAGUAUUUUAUCCGAGACGUGAAAUCUUUAACACUGUUCGUUACCCACUAUCCACCGGUCUGUGAACUAGAAAAAUGUUACCCAGAGCAAGUGGGGAAUUACCACAUGGGAUUCUUGGUCAAUGAGGAUGAAAGCAAGCAGGACUCGGGUGACAUGGAGCAGAUGCCGGAUUCUGUCACUUUUCUCUAUCAGAUAACCCGAGGAAUUGCAGCGAGAAGUUAUGGACUGAAUGUGGCGAAGCUAGCAGACGUGCCUAGAGAAGUCUUACAGAAAGCUGCGCACAAGUCUAAGGAGCUGGAAGGCUUAGUCAGUCUGAGAAGGAAAAGGCUUGAAUGCUUUACCGACUUAUGGACGACACACAGUGUGAAGGACCUGCACACAUGGGCAGAUAAGCUGGAAAUGGUGGAAAUACAGACUUCUCUCCCACAUUAGAAUGAAAACUGCAUUUUUGGAGUAAAAUACAGAGAACUGAAGAUUCAAACUGUACAAAACAACUCUGUGGCAACAGCCGUCUCUGUGGUCUUCCUUUUGAGAUGGUUUCUGCUCUGUGAAGGGAGCUUUUCAGGCUCUUGUCCUCCUGCUUUCAGAAGAAAAAGACAAUGGAGUGUAAAGGCCUCAAUUUUCCUAAGCAGUACAUUUCAUACCAAAGCGGGUUCUUCUAAGUAAAACCUAAAACGGAGGUACUUGGUGCCUACAUUAUCAGAGGGGCAGUGUCUGUUUAGGUUCAGACAAUUGACAACAGGCUAAUCUGACAGGAACCUACUUUUGUGAGCACUAAAGAACUUUAUAAUGCCAGGGUUUGCUCACCAAAGACAUAAACGUUUUUAUGAGAAGGAGAAUCAUGAAGCUUCUAGAAGCCAGAGCACAGGAAGGAAAGGCCAUAUGAAGUGUGAAGGGCUAAAUGUCGUCAUCUUUUUAACAGCGUGAAGGUAACACCAUAGAAGAACAUUUGGAAUCAAUUUUCUUCACACUACUUCCUCUUUCCCCUAUCUC